AUCUGCCUGGGACUGGGGGACCCCGUUUCGAAAGGGACGCUCGUACCGCAUACGUCCUACGGGAGAAAGCAGGGGACCUUCGGGCCUUGCGCUAUCAGAUGAGCCUAGGUCGGAUUAACUAGUUGGUGAGGUAAUGGCUCACCAAGGCGUACGAUCCGUAACUGGUCUGAGAGGAUGAUCAGUCACACUGGAACUGACCCAGGUUCAACUCUAAUACGGGAGGCAGCAGUGGGGAAUAUUGGACAAUGGGCGAAAGCCUGAUCCAGCCAUGCCGCGUGUGUGAAGAAGGUCUUCGGAUUGUAAAGCACUUUAAGUUGGGAGGAAGGGCAGUAAGUUAAUACCUUGCUGUUUUGACGUUACCGACAGAAUGAGCACCGGCUAACUCUGUGCCAGCAGCCGCGGUAAUACAGAGGGUGCAAGCGUUAAUCGGAAUUACUGGGCGUAAAGCGCGCGUAGGUGGUUCGUUAAGUUGGAUGUGAAAGCCCCGGGCUCAACCUGGGAACUGCAUCCAAAACUGGCGAGCUAGAGUACGGUAGAGGGUGGUGGAAUUUCCUGUGUAGCGGUGAAAUGCGUAGAUAUAGGAAGGAACACCAGUGGCGAAGGCGACCACCUGGACUGAUACUGACACUGAGGUGCGAAAGCGUGGGGAGCAAACAGGAU
rnacentral:rRNA from 1 species